GCAUGGGCUUGGAUUUAUGACAGACCCAUCCCCCUGGGUCUCUCAUAGUGGCCCAUGCCAGAGCACCCUGACCCAGAACCAUUGCCCAGCCUCUGCCCAUUUGUUGCAGGACUGAAGCAGGCCUCACAGUA